rnacentral:misc_RNA from 2 species
AAUUCUCAACCUUAUUAGUUUUUACUAGUAAUGGCUUGGAUGUGAGGGUUUGCAGGUUUCGAAAGAAGUCUGCUCCCUUUAAAUGCAUUAGCCGGUACCCCGCGUGGAUCGUCUAUUGGUGUGAUAAUUAUCUACGCCGUUAGAUGUCUACAAUUAAUGGGAUGUGCUGCUUCUAACUGUCCUUUGGACAACUUAUGACC